AAUUGUUUCAUAUACAUUUCAAUUGAGGGGAUACUAGAGAAACGUAAAUAAUGAGUAUCCCAUUUUUUACUGGAGAAACAACAUAUUCAUUUGCUUCUUGCGUGAGCUAUUCAGGACAUUAUUGUGUUUCCAUAUAUCCCAUUUGAUAUUAAAAGAAUUAUUCUGAAAACGAAAACAUUGUUUACUAUUGCACUAGUUAACCAACGUUUGUUUACGCUUUAAAGCAGUUUUGCACAAGUGCAUUUUCUUGAUGUUGAAAAGUAGACUUUCACAGAUUUAGAUCUCUUUUAGUAAGAAAAAAAUAGGGUAAUAAAUAAAUUUUUUUAAACUACUUUUUAUUA